GAUGAACGCUGGCGGCGUGCCUAAUACAUGCAAGUCGAGCGAACAGACGAGGAGCUUGCUCCUUCGACGUUAGCGGCGGACGGGUGAGUAACACGUAGGUAACCUACCUAUAAGACUGGGAUGACUUCGGGAAACCGGAGCUAAUACCGGAUAAUAUUUCGAACCGCAUGGUUCGAUAGUGAAAGAUGGCUUUGCUAUCACUUAUAGAUGGACCUGCGCCGUAUUAGCUAGUUGGUAAGGUAACGGCUUACCAAGGCAACGAUACGUAGCCGACCUGAGAGGGUGAUCGGCCACACUGGAACUGAGACACGGUCCAGACUCCUACGGGAGGCAGCAGUAGGGAAUCUUCCGCAAUGGGCGAUAGCCUGACGGAGCAACGCCGCGUGAGUGAUGAAGGUCUUCGGAUCGUAAAACUCUGUUAUUAGGGAAGAACAAACGUGUAAGUAACUGUGCACGUCUUGACGGUACCUAAUCAGAAAGCCACGGCUAACUACGUG
rnacentral:rRNA from 1 species